rnacentral:rRNA from 1 species
GUGUCAGCAGCCGCGGUAAUACGGAGGGUGCAAGCGUUGUUCGGAAUUACUGGGCGUAAAGAGCGUGUAGGCGGCCGAUCAAGUCCGGUGUGAAAGCCCGGGGCUUACCCCCGGAAGUGCGCUGGAAACUGAUCGGCUCGAGUAUGGGAGAGGGAAGUGGAAUUCCUGGUGUAGCGGUGAAAUGCGUAGAUAUCAGGAGGAACACCGGCGGCGAAGGCGGCUUCCUGGACCAAUACUGACGCUGAGACGCGAAAGCGUGGGGAGCAAACAGGAUUAGAUACCCCCGUAGUCC